AUGGCAAUAAUAGAAAUCUCUAUUUUUUUUUGCCACCACCUCCCCCCCCCCUGUUGUUUCCCUGUUUCUGUGUCAGAAGGGAAGGCUGGAAGAAAUUUAGGCAAAUUAAGCCCCACAGCACACUAUAAUUUUCUAUUUCUGAACCGAUUUGUGAGAGAAUGGGUAACUGAAAUUAGCAAAGGAUCACCCCACACAAAGAUGGCGCGUGCAGAAUUUGUGAAAGCGAAAAAGAAGACGAAGGAGAAGCAACAGAGGGGCGGAAUACUGCAGUGCUGGGGUGCAGCUGGAGUCCAGAAAUGAUUUUUUUCGAUGAAUUUAGGAUUUUGCCGCAGUAUACAUCUGCAGUCCCAGAAUCCUCCGGUAAGUUAAUCCUUCUUUCGAUGGGAAACGCCUUUAACCUUCUCGUGAAUGAAAUAUCUGCAACCAUUUUGAAAUUUUUAAUAGAGGAGGGUGUGUGUAUAUGUGUGUGUUUGUGGGGAGGGGGGCGGUUUAUGUCUCCAAAGCAUGAUUUUAUAGCAAUGCAGCGGUAUUUGUCUUAGUUCUUAGAAACAUUGAGAAACAUACCUUUGUGCUCUUUGAAUAUCAUGGAUGAUGUCUCCAUUACUUCUCCUUACACUUUCUAUCUAUGGUAGCAUUAGAAAGUACUUCCUUAGUAUGGCAAAGACUGUUGUGUCAAACUAGUGAAGGCCUGCAGAACACAUAACUCCAAGCACGAAAAGUGUGCCUGGCACAUCUGAAGCGGCCAUGAACAUAACUACCACGGCUGCUGCCACGCCACCACCAUGGCCAUCGCCUCCCACCACCUUCACUGCCCCUCCCUCGUUCCGCAGUGCACACCAGACACAAGCUUUCCACAGUGACUUUCUGCCGAAUUUGCCCAGUGGGUUCCUAGAUGACUUCUGUGUGCGAGAAUAGCCAACCAUGUAGUCUGACAUGAGGUAUUUACAACUACUUAGCCUGUUCAGCUGGAAAGAAAUCAAAAGAUAACACUGAACCCUGAGAUGAUGGAUUGCAAAUCAAAAGCCCCAAUCCAUAAAGAGCCCACUUGAUGAAUUGCUAAAUGAAAAGGCUGAUUCUAAUUUCUGUCCAGUCUUUGCAGGUUGUCUGAAAAGCAAAAUUUUUGAGCCAGCCUUCUUAGAGAGUUGGCGUUCAUUGUUUAUAAGCAUAUCAAUAUUAUUUCGUCUUACCUUUCUGCGGGGAGAGGAUUCUUCCCAAGGAGAUUCAGAUUGUCCAGAAGAGACCACACCCUCAUUUCACUGUUUUCUACUGUUUCUGUUUCUUUUCAAGGAGGGCUUAUUAACAAUCACAGUUAUACAUUCAUUUAGGGGUCCUCAUCAAAAGGAGCCAAGCAUCCAUUUCUUUCUCUCUAAAGGAAGCUCAUUGUUUUAGCGUUCAAUAAAUGUUUAAUUAGUGGAUCUGAUAGAUUUAAC
rnacentral:lncRNA from 1 species